UCGAAAAUUUUCUGAAUAUUUUUGGUCACGGGGUUUUUAUUUUUUGGCCCACCCUAAUCUGGAAAACUUUGAACGUAUUAACCAAAACACCUUUUAUAAUAAGAAAGAGCUUCCAGUCUAAAGAUGCUGGCUUAUCCCACUAAAAAUCUAUUUCAUCUUAAGAAUGCUGCAAGAAUGAGCAUCUACAUGCAGACAGAUGAAAAACGGGGACCGCAGUCGAAUAUUGUUGGAGAGCAUGAAUUUAGUGAAGUCUGGUGGAGCCUAAGAUUUCAUUCCUGUCCUAAUUCCCCUCCAUCAGCUGACACCCUGCCUGUAUGCAGCUAUCUGGCACUCAUAGAUCUCUGCAGCCGGAAGUUUUAUGGAAACCGCCAGGACUAAUAAUCACGUAUAUUUAUCUGCAACACAGCCACCUAGAGCUGCCAUUCUAGACCUAACAGCCUGAAAGUUGAGUCCAGUGAAAAGCACAGGCCUCUCUCUCACUGUGCUUUUCAAGGCUGCCCUGCAGCGGUUGCCUAGUCAAGCCCUGUGUCUGAUCGGGCAGAGGUAGAGAAAAGGAGACAAUAGGAGCUCUCCACAGGCCCUCUUUCAAACCUC